UACGUAGGGUGCGAGCGUUAAUCGGAAUUACUGGGCGUAAAGCGUGCGCAGGCGGUUUUGUAAGCCAGAUGUGAAAUCCCCGGGCUAACCUGGGAAUGGCAUUUGGGACUGCAAGGCUUGAGUGCGGCAGAGGAGACUGGAAUUCCUGGAUGUAGCAGUGAAAUGCGAUAGAUAUCAGGAGGAACGAGCCCGCAUAGGUGGAAGGCCAGGGUCGUCUUGGGCUGG
rnacentral:rRNA from 1 species